rnacentral:lncRNA from 1 species
GUAUACAGAUGAGGAGGUAUACAAAGGAUUCUACAUUAUGGACAAGGAAACCUGUUCGAUCACCAUGCACUGCAAAAUCAUUCUGGCUACGGAUAAGGAGAACAACAACACAUUAACAUCAAUACCCCAGAGGAUAUAUUGGACAUGGGGCUCUGCUGGGAGUUUACCUCAUAUUAUAAUUUUUUUCUGCUUUGCCACUAAAAUCAUAAUAAACACUGACA